GGAUACUAUAUUAUGGGGGAGGAUAAUGGUCUGGGGGAAAAUCAUCCAGUCAUUUAUAAAUUCGCCUCCCCCCAUUACACACAUUAACACAUAUACACGCAUAUACACAUUCGACGUCGGUUCAAAUCCCAUCGCGGCCGCCUGGGUUAAUAUAAAAAAUAGUCAGUGUUGGGGGUGGAUAGUGGUUUGCGCAUAAUCACUUAUAAAUUUGCCUCCCCCUCGCUUAUAAAACCUAUUUGUUGGGGAGGAUAGUGAUUGCCGAUCACUUAUAAAUUUGCCCCCCAAUUAUUCAUAUACACAUUUACACUUGCGCAUAAAGUAAUAUAAAAAAUAGUCAGUGUUGGGGGUGGAUAGUGGACAAUCACUUAUAAAUUUGCCUCCCCCUCGCUUAUAAAACCUAUUUGUUGGGGAGGAUAGUGAUUGCCGAUCACUUAUAAAUUUGCCCCCCAAUUAUUCAUAUACACAUUUACACUUGCGAAUAAAGUAAUUUAAAAAAUAGUCAGUGUUGGGGGUGGAUAGUGGACAAUCACUUAUAAAUUUGCCUCCCCCUUGCUUAUAAAAUCUAUUUGUUGGGGAGGAUAAUGUUCAAUCAUUUAUAAAUAUGCCCCCCAAUUAUCAAAUACACAUUUACACUUGCGCAUAAAUUAAUUUAAAAAAGUCAGUGUUGGGGGUGGAUGGUGGACAAUCACUUAUAAAUUUGCCUCCCCCUCGCUUAUAAAACCUAUUUGUUGGGGAGGAUGGUGGUAUGGACCAUAAUUGUCCGAUCACUUAUAAAGUUGCCCCCCAAUUAUUUAUUAAACAAAUUAAUCUCGAGUAUCAAAAUAUGACUUUAUUGAUCGAACGACAAAAACGAAUUUAAAAUUACAACUAUAGUUGUAAAAUAUUUAUAUUUAUCAUUUAAAUCACACAACACUUCAUGUGUUGACUUUUUCUACUCGCUGUCUUUGUGCAAAAAUGCUCGUUUUUUUCUCAAGUUUCGUCACUCGUCUUGUUCAUUUUUGAUGAAAUGAUCAUGAAAUUCUCAAUUUUAUCGGGUUAUAAUGAUUAUUUGGUACUCAUCACAAAUGUUAACCAAUAUUUCGGGUUUGUCUCAUUUUAUGAUAUUUCACUAACUUUCAAUUUCUAGUUUUACCGAUUUCUCAUUGACAUGAGAAAAAUCCAUAGCUAUUUGGUAAGUUUGGAUAUUGUAUACUUGAUAACGCUUUGUUUUUUCCAGAUUUAUUUCUGAAAUUCGAUUUUUCAUCAUGUUUGUUAUUGAUUUGGCGGUUUCUGUCUUCAGUGGCAUCAGAUUCAAGAAAUGCUCGGUAAUGUUCAACUUUAAGUUAGGAAUAGGAUAGGUUUAGGAACAUGAUCUGAGCUUUUUCCUAUUGGAUUUGAUGCUAGUUGAAGUUUUGAAACCAAUGAAGCAAUUGACAAGCAUGAUUAAUUUUCGAAGAUUCACGAAAUGAAACACAUAGUUGAAACUGAUAAUGGUGAACAUUUUGGAAAUUGAAUCUGGAAUCAAGCCAGUUGGAAAAAUCAGAGAUCAUGUCAUAUUCAUUUUGGAAAAGGAAAAUUGAAUGGCCAUUACGAUAGAUUUUUAUUUGCAUGAUCGACAACUAGUCUUGGAUCAUAAAGAUUGGAUUGACGGACAUAUGCUCAUGGUCAUUGGUUGAUUUAUAAAUGGAUCACUAUGGACCAGACAAAAAUUGGAUCAUGUAUAAUUUGGUUGUUUAAUUAUUGUCAUUGCUUUAUUAAUUUAAUAUUAAUUUGAAUAAAAUUUUUUAAUCCUAA